rnacentral:rRNA from 1 species
GAUGAACGCUAGCGGCAGGCUUAAUACAUGCAAGUCGAGGGGCAGCGCAGUGUAGCAAUACAAUUGAUGGCGACCGGCAAACGGGUGCGGAACACGUACACAACCUUCCAAUAAGUGGGGAAUAGCCCAGAGAAAUUUGGAUUAAUACCCCGUAACAUAACGAUGUGGCAUCACAUUGUUAUUAUAGAUUUUUCGCUUAUUGAUGGGUGUGCGGCUGAUUAGAUAGUUGGCGGGGUAACGGCCCACCAAGUCUACGAUCAGUAGCUGAUGUGAGAGCAUGAUCAGCCACACGGGCACUGAGACACGGGCCCGACUCCUACGGGAGGCAGCAGUAAGGAAUAUUGGACAAUGGACGCAAGUCUGAUCCAGCCAUGCCGCGUGAAGGAUUAAGGUCCUCUGGAUUGUAAACUUCUUUUAUAAGGGACGAAAAAAGGCUUUUCUAAGUCGUCUGACGGUACCUUAUGAAUAAGCACCGGCUAACUCCGUGCCAGCAGCCGCCGUAACAC